rnacentral:rRNA from 1 species
GGCUCAGAGCGAACGCUGGCGGCAGGCUUAACACAUGCAAGUCGAGCGGGCGUAGCAAUACGUCAGCGGCAGACGGGUGAGUAACGCGUGGGAACGUACCUUUUGGUUCGGAACAACACAGGGAAACUUGUGCUAAUACCGGAUAAGCCCUUACGGGGAAAGAUUUAUCGCCGAAAGAUCGGCCCGCGUCUGAUUAGCUAGUUGGUGAGGUAAUGGCUCACCAAGGCGACGAUCAGUAGCUGGUCUGAGAGGAUGAUCAGCCACAUUGGGACUGAGACACGGCCCAAACUCCUACGGGAGGCAGCAGUGGGGAAUAUUGGACAAUGGGGGCAACCCUGAUCCAGCCAUGCCGCGUGAGUGAUGAAGGCCCUAGGGUUGUAAAGCUCUUUUGUGCGGGAAGAUAAUGACGGUACCGCAAGAAUAAGCCCCGGCUAACUUCGUGCCAGCAGCCGCGGUAAUACGAAGGGGGCUAGCGUUGCUCGGAAUCACUGGGCGUAAAGGGUGCGUAGGCGGGUCUUUAAGUCAGGGGUGAAAUCCUGGAGCUCAACUCCAGAACUGCCUUUGAUACUGAAGAUCUUGAGUUCGGGAGAGGUGAGUGGAACUGCGAGUGUAGAGGUGAAAUUCGUAGAUAUUCGCAAGAACACCAGUGGCGAAGGCGGCUCACUGGCCCGAUACUGACGCUGAGG